rnacentral:tRNA from 1 species
GGGGGUGUAGCUCAGUUGGUUUAGAGCGCCUGCCUGUCACGCAGGAAGUCGAGGGUUCGAGUCCCUUCACUCCCGCCA